rnacentral:lncRNA from 1 species
UAGACUAUAGCUAAUCUUUUCCUAGGCUUGUUUGUUGGCUGGGUCUCAAAUGACCAUAGUCUAGCUCUUGCAGUUACCUACUGACAUGGUUUAGAUCUGUGUCCCUACUGACAUGGUUUAGCUCGUGUCCCCACCAGAUCUCAUCUUGAAUUGUACUCCCAUAAUUCCCACGUGUUGUGGGAGGGACUUGGUGGGAGAUAAUUUAAAUCAUGAGGGUGGUUUCCCCCAUACUGUUCGCAUGGUAGUGAAUAAGUCUCAUGAGAUCUGAUGGUUUUAUCAGGGGGUUCUGCUUUUGCAUCUUCCUCAUUUUUCUCUUGCCACCACCAUGUUAAGAAGAGCCUUUUGCCUCCCACCAUGAUUCUGAGGCCUCCCCAGCCAUGCAGAACUAAUCUGGGAGCACUCAGUUGUGGAACCCAGCCACCAUGUUGUGAAGAAGCCCUGUGCAGUGGUCCAAGUGACCAGGAGUCAAAGCUCCCAGCCAAUAGCCAGCACUAACUUGUCAGCAGUGUCAUGGAGCCCACUUGAAAGAGGAUUCUAAUUAUGCUGCCCAAGCUGUGGCCACAUGGAGGAGAGAUAUACAGUCCCUGCUGAACCCUGCUCUAAUUACAGGGAGACUUGAAAACCAG